CCUACGGGAGGCAGCAGUGGGGAAUAUUGGACAAUGGGGGGAACCCUGAUCCAGCCAUGCCGCGUGUGUGAAGAAGGCCCUCGGGUUGUAAAGCACUUUCAGUGAGGAAGAACGCCUGGUGGUUAAUACCCAUCAGGAAAGACAUCACUCACAGAAGAAGCACCGGCUAACUCCGUGCCAGCAGCCGCGGUAAUACGGAGGGUGCGAGCGUUAAUCGGAAUUACUGGGCGUAAAGCGCGCGUAGGUGGCUUGAUAAGCCGGUUGUGAAAGCCCCGGGCUCAACCUGGGAACGGCAUCCGGAACUGUCAAGCUAGAGUGCAGGAGAGGAAGGUAGAAUUCCCGGUGUAGCGGUGAAAUGCGUAGAGAUCGGGAGGAACACCAGUGGCGAAGGCGGCCUUCUGGACUGACACUGACACUGAGGUGCGAAAGCGUGGGUAGCAAACAGGAUUAGAUACCCUGGUAGUC
rnacentral:rRNA from 1 species